UACGUAGGGCGCAAGCGUUGUCCGGAAUUACUGGGCGUAAAGAGCUCGUAGGUGGUUUGUCGCGUCGUCUGUGAAAUUCCGGGGCUUAACCUCGGGCGUGCAGGCGAUACGGGCAAUACUUGAGUGCUGUAGGGGAGACUGGAAUUCCUGGUGUAGCGGUGAAAUGCGCAGAUAUCAAGAGGAACACCGGUGGCGAAGGCGGCUCUCUGGACAGAUACUGACGCUGAGGCUCUAAAGUUAGGGGAGCAAACAGGAUUAGAUACCCU
rnacentral:rRNA from 1 species